rnacentral:pre_miRNA from 1 species
AGUGAGCGACUGUAAACAUCCUCGACUGGAAGCUGUGAAGCAGCAGAUGGGGCUUUCAGUCGGAUGUUUGCAG